CACCGCGGUUAUACGAGAGGCCCAAGUUGAUACAACUCGGCGUAAAGCGUGGUUAACAAAAGUGACACUAAAGCCGAACACUCUCAAAGCUGUUAUACGCUUCUGAGCAUAGGAAGGUUACUGACGAAAGUGGCUUUAACAAAAAGUGACCCCACGAAAAUUAGGAAA
rnacentral:rRNA from 1 species